CAGCAGCCGCGGUAAUACGUAGGGUGCAAGCGUUAAUCGGAAUUACUGGGCGUAAAGCGUGCGCAGGCGGUUAUGUAAGACAGUUGUGAAAUCCCCGGGCUCAACCUGGGAACUGCAUCUGUGACUGCAUAGCUAGAGUACGGUAGAGGGGGAUGGAAUUCCGCGUGUAGCAGUGAAAUGCGUAGAUAUGCGGAGGAACACCGAUGGCGAAGGCAAUCCCCUGGACCUGUACUGACGCUCAUGCACGAAAGCGUGGGGAGCAAACAGGAUUAGAUACCCCUGUAGUCCCUGUCUCUUAUAC
rnacentral:rRNA from 1 species